CACGUAGGGCGCAAGCGUGUCCGGAAUUAUUGGGCGUAAAGAGCUCGUAGGCGGUUUGUCGCGUCUGCUGUGAAAACCUAAGGCUCAACCUUGGGCUUGCAGUGGGUACGGGCAGACUAGAGUGGCGGUAGGGGUGACUGGAAUUCCUGGUGUAGCGGUGGAAUGCGCAGAUAUCAGGAGGAACACCGAGUGGCGAAGGCAGGUCA
rnacentral:rRNA from 1 species